rnacentral:rRNA from 2 species
GUUGCCUCACCUUGGUAAGACUACCCGC